UUUCUAGAUGGAUAUCCUAGAAAAAGAGAGAAAUUUUAGAAAUUUUCAAAAAAAAGCAAAACAUCCGACCAUCAAUCGAUAGAUUCAAAUCAUCAUAGCCAUUGGAUCUAUUAUAUUUUCUAAAAAAUUACCCACCUAUGAUAUUAUGAAAAUAGACUAAAGUAGCCCCCUAAAUCUAUAUAUAAAUUACCCACCUCUACCAUUAUAUAAAAUAAACUAAAGUAACCAUCUAAUCUUCAUCCGAAUUAUCCACUUAUGCCAUUAUAAACAAUAUUUAAAAUAACCCCC
rnacentral:lncRNA from 1 species